rnacentral:rRNA from 1 species
GCUUAACGCGAAGAACCUUACCAGGGCUUGACAUCCUUGGAACUUCUGCGAAAGCAGAGAGUACUUUAUUGGACCAAGUGACAGGUGUUGCAUGGCCGUCGUCAGCUCGUGUCGUGAGAUGUUAGGUUAAGUCCUUCAACGAGCGCAACCCUUAUGUUUAGUUGGAUUUUUCUAAACAGACUGCCUCGGCAACGGGGAGGAAGGAGGGGAUGAUGUCAGGUCAUUAUUACCCUUACGUCCUGGGCUAGAAACGCGCUACAAUGGCCGGUACAAAGGGCAGCCAACCCGCGAGGGGAGCAAAUCCCAUCAAAACCGGUCCCAGUUCGGAUUGCAGGCUGAAACUCGCCUGCAUGAAGCCGGAAUCACUAGUAAUCGUAGGUCAGCACACUACGGUGAAUACGUUCCCGGGUCUUGUACACACCG